AAGUCGUAACAAGGUUUCCGUAGGUGAACCUGCGGAAGGAUCAUUAGCGCCGUUGUGUUUUUUUCUUUUUUCCUUCCAACUCGUUUUUUCUUUGUGAACUUUCAUUGGUUUUUCUUUUGUUUGAUUUUGAACUUGUGUGUGAGAAGAAGAGAAGGAGAUGUGAGUGGUGGGGCUCGCUGGAGGGUGUUGCACCUUCCUCGAAUCUCAUCACUCUCACUCUCACUCUUCUCUCUCCACACAUUUUCAAAACACCAACCACACUCACCAAAUCCAAUCACUUGGUCAAACUCAAACCAAAUCAAAAAACAAAAAAACAACUCUUAACAAUGGAUUUCUUGGUUCUC
rnacentral:misc_RNA from 1 species